rnacentral:lncRNA from 10 species
CCGCGCCCGGCGGAAAUAAACUUUAAGGGAAAAAGAAACUUCCUGAAAUCAAGAUCUUGAAAAGAUAUUUGCAUGCCAGUGUCAUUCAGCAUUGUUCACAAUAGUCUAAAUAUGGAAACAACCUAAAUGUCCAGCAACAGAUGUUCGGAUAAAGAAAACAUGUGUACAUGUGAUAUAAUGGAAUAUUAUUCAGCCUUUAAAAAGAAGGAAAUCCACCUGGCCAACAUGGCAAAACCCCGUCUCUACUAAAAACACAAAAAUUAGCCAGGCGUGGUGGCAGGCGCCUGUAACCCCAGCCACUCUGGAGGCUGAGGUGGGAGAAUCACUUGAACCUGGGAGGCGAAGGUUGCAGUGAGCCAAGAUCACGCCAUUGCACUCCAGCCUGGGCAACAAGAGGGUGACUCCAUCUCAAAAAAAAAAAGAAGAAGGAAAUCCUGCCAUAUACAAUAACAUGGCCGAACCUUGGUAACACUAUACUAAGUAAAGUAAGCCAGUCACUGCAAGACAAACACUGUAGGAUUACACUUAUAUCAACUUAUAUCAACUACCAAAAAGAACCAAAUUCAUAGAAGCAGAAAAGAGAAUGAUGGUUUCCAGGGGCUAGGUGGGGGGCAGACAGAAAUGAAGAGUUACUAUUCAACAAAUAUAAAAGUUUCAAUUAUAAAAGAUUAAUAUCUUCUAGAUAUCUGUUGUACAACAUAGUGCUCAUAGUUAACGAUGCUGUUAUUGCAUGCUUAAAAAUUUGUUAAGAGAGUACAUCUCAUAUUAUCAUGUUAAAUGCUCUUACCACAACAAACACACAAAUAUAUACUUACACACAUACAUACAUUUUCCUGAAGUGGCCAAAAGCAUCCAGAAACUGGAUUGGAGCAGUCGAUAUUUGCCAGAAAAAAUGGCAUGGAUGAUUUACUUUUGCUGAUUUUAAGAUAAGAGAAGGACCUAGUCAGCGUCAUUUUACAGGGUAACUAAAAUCCAGGUAGAAAACAUCAGUCUUACUGGCCUGAAGGAACAGGACAGAGUUCAUGAAGGUCAUGGAGAUUGAAAAUCUGGAAGAUAAAGCCACAGAAAAUAGGCAGACAGACCAACGAGAGCCUCAAAUUUUUGUGUUUACUAUACCCAAAUACCGGCUGAUCUCUACACUAUACGUAAGUGAUGUUAAGCCUAAAAGACCUGAACAAAGAUUUCAAUUGCUGCCCACCUCAGGGAAGACAAGUUUGAAAAUGGAGUCCUGCUGAAUUACAGUCUGCUAAAAGAAUAUAUCAAUAUUGAGUCAAAUUCCACUUUCCAAGAAUAACCUGAGAAAUAUUUUUACUUCAACAUGCUUUUCUGAAAUAUUGCCAGUGCCUGCCUCAAGAGGUAGAGUCUUUUCAUCUUUGUAUAUUCCUACAACAUUGAGUGGACAUCAAGUUUAUUUGGCAUCAAAAUUUAGCAAAGGGCCUUAUAUAUAUGUGUUCUCCAAAUAUUAAAUGAAUUGUGAAUGUUCUUCGAGUUGAGGCUUACACAAUUG